rnacentral:rRNA from 1 species
GACGGGGCCGCACAAGCGGUGAGCAUGUGGUUAAUUCGACGCAACGACGAAGAACCUUACCAGGCUUGACAUCCCCUGACCGCGUAUGAAAGUACGUUUUCACCUUCGGGAGACAGGGAGACAGGUGGUGCAUGGUUGUCGUCAGCUCGUGUCGUGAGAUGUUGGGUUAAGUCCCGCAACGAGCGCAACCCCUACGUUUAGUUGCUAACGCGUGAAGGCGAGCACUCUAGACGAACUGCCGUUGACAAAACGGAGGAAGGUGGGGAUGACGUCAAAUCAUCAUGCCCCUUAUGUUCUGGGCUACACACGUGCUACAAUGGCCGGUACAGACGGACGCAAAGCCGCGAGGUGGAGCAAAUCCUAGAAAGCCGGUCUCAGUUCGGAUUGCAGGCUGCAAUUCGCCUGCAUGAAGUCGGAAUCGCUAGUAAUCGCAGGUCAGCAUACUGCGGUGAAUACGUUCCCGGGCCUU